AUAUCGAUAAGACAUUCUCCAUCCAACAACCCCAUCCCUAUAUACAUAUGAGUUUUACUUGGUGGAAGGUCAAUCUCAACAGCACCAUCCAGUGGGAGAACCUCACGCGGUACGCCCCAGCCCCUCCCUCUACUGCAGUCGGCACCACUUAAUUACUAUUAGAAGUCGCUGUCAAUGCUGACUUCGCCGCAUUGACCUGGGUUUCGAAAUGUGGGACCCAGUUAUGGGUCGUUACAACCUUCAAUUGAACUCAACCGAUCCUCACCCUCACACACUGCUCCGCGGUGGCUUUCGUGAGCAGACAUCGUAUAAGAGUUAUUAGAUUGAACGUUAGAAUAGGGACCAAAAUGGAUAAAGAAAAGGGGCAACAAAUUGAGGCGCUGCUUGGUUGUUGCCAUGGUAAUUAUGGUUAAUACAAAAGAUCUACAUAGCAUAGGGUUCGGUUGGAUAAUCGUGCAGAAUGAUGAUCAUUCCGCAGCACAGGAUUAAAGAAGAGUACAACAGUGUUCGGCGUACGAUAAUUUAUAUUAAUGUUUAACAAUAUUUGUUUGUUUUGGGGAUCCUGUAGAAUGCCUCCCGAUUAAUUACAAGGAUUUAACUAUACAUAAUCAACAUGAUUUGUGAAAGGAGAACAAUAAUCAAACCGUAUAAGGAUAACAUUUGUAAAUCAUGC